rnacentral:rRNA from 1 species
UACGUAGGUGGCAAGCGUUGUCCGGAUUUAUUGGGUUUAAAGGGUGCGUAGGCGGCUUUUUAAGUCAGUGGUGAAAUUCUGCAGCUCAACUGUAAGGACUGCCAUUGAUACUGGAAAGCUUGAGUACAUACGAGGUAGGCGGAAUUGACGGUGUAGCGGUGAAAUGCAUAGAUAUCGUCAAGAACACCGAUUGCGAAGGCAGCUUACUAGAAUGUAACUGACGCUGAGGCACGAAAGUGCGGGGAUCAAACAGG